rnacentral:rRNA from 1 species
UGGGGAAUUUUGGACAAUGGGCGAAAGCCUGAUCCAGCAAUGCCGCGUGUGUGAAGAAGGCCUUCGGGUUGUAAAGCACUUUUGUCCGGAAAGAAAUCCUUGGCUCUAAUACAGUCGGGGGAUGACGGUACCGGAAGAAUAAGCACCGGCUAACUACGUGCCAGCAGCCGCGGUAAUACGUAGGGUGCAAGCGUUAAUCGGAAUUACUGGGCGUAAAGCGUGCGCAGGCGGUUUGCUAAGACCGAUGUGAAAUCCCCGGGCUCAACCUGGGAACUGCAUUGGGUGACUGGCAGGCUAGAGUAUGGCAGAGGGGGGUUAGAAUUCCACGUGUAGCAGUGAAAUGCGUAGAGAUGUGGAGGAAUACCGAUGGCGAAGGCAGCCCCCUGGGCCAAUACUGACGCUCAUGCACGAAAGGCGUGGGGAGCAAACAGGAUUAGAUACCCCUGGUAGUCCACG